UACGUAGGGUGCAAGCGUUAAUCGGAAUUACUGGGCGUAAAGCGUGCGCAGGCGGUUCGUUGUGUCGGUGGUGAAAUCCCCGGGCUUAACCUGGGAAUGGCCAUGGAAACUGGCGAACUGGAGUGUGGCAGAGGGGGGUGGAAUUCCGCGUGUAGCAGUGAAAUGCGUAGAGAUGCGGAGGAACACCGAUGGCGAAGGCAGCCCCCUGGGCUAACACUGACGCUCAGGCACGAAAGCGUGGGGAGCAAACAGG
rnacentral:rRNA from 1 species